ACAGAGGCAGCUUUCUAAGAACCUGGUGAAAUACCCCACCCUGGGCAUCAUCACCCCGUGUGGCGAAUGGAGCAACUGCUGGGGACUUGCUCAAGUAGCCUCCGACCCCGCAGGGCUGUUCCUUCCUCCCAGUUUCAGGAUUUCCCAACAGGUCCCCAACAGACGCAUUUCAUCAGCCUCAGGGGAGCCUGGCUCCCUUCCCGCCCCGGCCCAGAGGCGCCUGAUGGGAUGGAAGCUGGUUUUAUGCUUCUGGAUCCCCAAGAAUGAUAGGGCCCCACCCUUCUGCCCUCCCCAGCAGCGUCUCUCUGCCAUCAGUGAAGCAGUUGAGCUUGAUGGAGAUGGGCAGCGCACCCAGGAAGAAGGCAGAGGACUUAGCCCAAUGUUACCUGCUGUGUAUGUGUUAUCUUCGUCAGACCUGCCCAUCAUGCCUGCUUGACAUUAGAGGAAAUUAAAGAGAUGAGAUCUCACUAUGUUGCCCAGGCUGAUCUCGAACUCCUGGACUCAAGCAACCCUCCUGCCUUGGCCUCCCAAAGUGCUGCAAUGACAGGCAUGAGCCACUGUGCCUGGCCUGGGCCCUUUCCUUAGGCUCCAUGACUGAAUGAAAGAGCAAACAUGAUGAAUUGAACACCUACUAUGUGUUAGGCACUUGCUGAAUUUAGAAAUAAAUAAAUGUCUUGUGUUAAUGCGGUGAUUACUCAGUCACCAGAGAGCAGAUGAUAAUUUGGGGAAUGGGCAGUACUGCUAAAACCCAACACCAAGGAGAGGGGCAAU
rnacentral:lncRNA from 1 species